rnacentral:lncRNA from 1 species
AAUGGAGGUAGUAGGUGUUUGUUCUGUGUACAACCCAGAUACGACAACACACACACCAUCAUUAUUUCCAAUAUACUCUUUGUGCAAUUUAAUUAUUUUUCGCACCACCAUGGUUUCUUGUCUAAUUGCAUCGUGUGUUUCCAGCUGCUCCCGGUGGUAGGUGCUCAUGUAUGAUUUUGAUAAGAGCCACAGAUGUUUGCAUUUGAAUUCCAUUAUAACCAUUCAUAUAUCAGUAUAUACUAAUGCUCUCUAUGCCCAUAACCAUAACUAUACAGUGUGCCAAUUAUUUACCUGAACUCACUUUUAUAAAUUACUCAACAUUUUGCAGGAAUGAUGGUGCACCUUAAUAUAAAGAAGCCCGAGG